GGGGAAUCGAACCCCGGUCUUCCGCGCGGCCGCUGUGAAUUCUUUAGCUAAACGUCCCUAAACCGAAUCCCAUUCAUUUUCAAUGGUAGUGCUAAAACACUACGGAUGCAAUAUAUUUUCGGCCACUGGCGCUCUCGCGGCGCACUUCCGUGUUUUGCAUAGCCGGGAAAUUUGAGUCAUUUUAACUUCCUCGUUGGAAAGACAACUCUGCAAUCCUGCUUUACUUCUCAAAGGUCAUCAUGCACAAAAAGGUAGUUUUCUCCCAGAAAGGGCUAAAGUUGCAUUCCGUAAGGGACCACUGGGUUAUCUUCUUCAGGAACCAACUGACCAGGCCAGGGUUAUCAAAAACAACCCGUCUCUGAAGGACAAAUCAGCACCAAUAAAGGAGGAGCUUGUUAGACAAAAUGCUUUGACUGUGGUACUUCAAGGAGGAGGUGAUGCAUCAGACAAAAAAUAAGUAUUUGGUGAAUACAUUCUGCAGUUUGGCAAACGCAACACAGAAUUAUAAGCUGCAGCAAUACCUACUGAGACAGCAGCAACAGUCAGGUGACUGUUCAUCUGUGGUUACCCACAGAAAUGGAUGAAGACACAGAGUUUGAGUGUUCAAUGCUGAGCAUCACCCCCUCUAAACUACAGGUACCAUCAUCAUCAUCCUCAACAACUGAAGUGAGAUGCUCUAUGGAAAAAGGAAAAGGGUUUCGUUUUGGCCAUGUUUCAUUAACAAUAGUGUGUGUGCCGUUGGCAUUAUACUAACAGUUCAGGAGGCUGUAGAUUGAUUUCAUCCCUAUCAUGAAUUGAUACAAACCCUGUUCAGGAACCUCCUGCUUUCCUAUCAAAGCCUUGUGAUGACACUAUAAACUCACCAGUCUAUGAGCUGAUGUUUCUUGAGUAAGAACCAUCACCUUUCACACAAUCAAAGAAAAGUGUUUCAGCUACAGGAGAGCACAGCGUUGUAGACAACUUUCUUGCACGCAGGACACUUACUUUUGAGGACUGUGGCAAAAACGUUUUUAGAAACUCUCUCAUCUUCAGGAACCACAUCACGUAGUGUCCCACAAACAGCAGAGGCAUCACAUGAUCCAUGAUCCUCUGCUUCUGGUUCUUCUGUGCGCAGCCCACCAUCUCUGCAUUAGAAAGUUCAAAACACAUGAACCCUUUCUAAAGCUUCUCCACAUCUUCCUGACUAUGAUCAUGAUGUGCUUCACUGGAAUUGUUCUCAUCAGCAGAGGAUCUGGAUGAAAACAUAGCUGGAAUAAAUGGGUCUAUGGCCAGGCUCCACUCCUGUGAGCAACCCUAUGAAGACCGUGUCACUGUGGCGUUUACCUCCUCAGCCAGAGCUGAUAGACACAGCCAUGUACCAGGGCCUAGCAAACCAGUACAAAAUUGCAGAUGUGGAGAAGGCACAGUACCAGUGGGUAGACAGGGAUUGCUGUGCAGCAUUAAGAGUGCCAGAACUUCAGGCAAGAGAACACCUGAACUGGAAAGCUUGGAAGACUACAGAUGCCAUUAUUGCUGAGGGUGCUUCUGGUGACUUUCACAUGUGCAUCAAGGUCUCACUUUAAUCAACACAUCAUAAUCAAGCUGGAAGUUGAUGUCACAGAGGGACAUCACAGCAGGAGGGCUACCACUUCCACCAGGCUCAAUGGAUCACUGGCACACGUGUUUCCUCAGAGCUGUUUCAAACACAGGGGAUGAUUGGAGUGGCCCGCUGAAACGUCUGGUGGACCUAAAACCAUUGGGUGUUAAUCUCCCUGGUGUGUUUGACUCAUCUCUUAUUGCAGACAUCAAUACCGUGUCUAGAGAGGGUGUUAGGCAUGCCUAAGUAUCUUGCUCUUCAGGUAUCCAACAAAGAUUCUCAGGAGAGGUUUGAGUUUGUUGAACCUGGAUGUCGUCCUGUUGUGCUUUAUUGGAGAAAGCACAGGAGCAAGACAGAUCUGCCUUUGCAUCCAGCUAAGCGUAGCCCAAGCCCACUGCCCAGGCUGGAGACCUUUCUGCUGAUCUUGUUGUGCCAUCAAGUCAUGAUGAGCCAGUGUCAGGAUUACCACCAUUGAUGUGCCCUUGCUGUCCUCAUAUCAUUGUGCUGAUGUAGAGCUGCAGUCAAAACCAGGUUGUUGAUGAAAGUGCUAUUAUUCUUGUUGAAUCCAUUGACGUGCUGCCUGUGCCAUCGGUGUCAUUGCCUUAAAGUGCCUGCAUAAAGCCUCAGACAGAGAUAGAAACCACACAUAUUCCCCUGCUGCCCGUAGUGGCCUCACCUGCAAAGGCCCGUACCGGAAUAGUGAAGACUGGUGGGAGGGUGUUUGUUCUAGACCACAAACGAUGGACAUCCCCAAUAAAGGAGGCCAUUGACAAAUUGCUUAACAAACAUCAUGAGAAGAAGGACAUCCUUAAGCUUGUGGAUCAGCAGUAUGCAGCAAUGGUUCAAAACUCCUGCACUGAUCCAAACACCAUGCUCCAUCUAAAAACUAAACUACACAUUUCACAAUAUAUUAAGCACUAAGCCAAACUGCUGAACACCAGUUCUUUUUUAAACACCAGUGAUGAGAAACUUAAUCAGAGACAGCACCUCUGACACUCCCUGACAGAGGGGAGUGAGACCACCAGUGUGCCAGUGGUAACAAUGAACUCUGCCAUUCCAAACCCACCUGCACCUGCUCUGACCACACCAAUUACUCAAGAGACCAUCGAGAAAGUAGUUGAGGGUAUUAUGGAGAGGAAUCAACAACAACAACAGCCAGAGCAGAAGAAAAAGCAGACAAAGAUGUGUCUUGCCUGUGGACAGCCAAAGUCUCACUAUGAUAGAGAUGGCUUCUCUAUUAAUUUUUUUAUCAGCAAGCCCCUGUUGGGUAUUUUUACUGCUCUACAAAGGUGUUUAAAGCUUAUAGCAUUGAGUGACUAACAAUGAGUAAUAUUCCCUUGGCAAGACAUUUUGC